ACGGAUCUGGAGAUGAGGUCAUCCUGGAUCCGGGUGGCCCUGAAUCAGUGACAGUGUCCUUCUAAGAGACUAGAGGAGAGACACAGACACACAGGAGACACCAUGUGAAGUUGGAGGCAGAGACAGGAGGGAUGAGGCCACAAGCCCAGGGACGCCUGGAGCCCCCAGAAGCUGGAAGAGGCAGGAAGGACCCUCCCCUGGAGCCUCCGGAGGGAACACGGACCUGGGACUCCUUGACCUCAGACGUCUGGUCUCCGGGACUGAGAGAGGACAGGUUUCUGUUGCUCUGAGCCUCUGUGGUCGUUUGUCAACAGCUGCCCCGGGAAGCUAAUGCAGCUGGUGAGCAGCUCCCUGGCCUGAUCUAAACCCUCCCGCCUCCCGUUAGGGGCAGCCCCCUGCGCCCGUGCUGUUUGCACAAACCAUGUGGCUCACGCUGAACCCCGGCUCCCCUUCUGGGCACUGGCAUUUUGGGGGGUGAGGGCAGAGCACACCACGUGACCAGCCCCCAGCCGGGGCUCUCCUCCACCCCCACCUUCAGCAGCAGUUCCCCUAAGUAUUUAAGUGAAGGGGUCCAGAGGUAAGAAAGGAAGCAGAAACAGACAGAUGGAACCAGCUGGGACCAGGAGGGCAACGAAUGUGACCUCCAACCGACCCCGAGUCUCAUCACGUGUUGAAUUUACUAUAUCUGCGUAUUAGGUGACACACCCACCGGCGGCCAUGGCUGGACAUGAAGGACCAGAAACGGGUAAAAGGAGGUGGUACCCCAGCCCCUUGGAAGAAGCCCCGCCCCUUCCCCGGAAGGCCUCUUCAUCCCAUCACUAGCCUCCCUCCUCCUCCCUUUGUCUUUACUCUUUAAAAUUAAACCUCUCUCUCCAGGAGGGCGAGAAGGUGAUCUGUGAA